rnacentral:rRNA from 1 species
CCUACGGGAGGCAGCAGUGGGGAAUAUUGCACAAUGGGGGAAAUCCUGAUGCAGCGACGCCGCGUGAGUGAAGAAGUAUUUCGGUAUGUAAAGCUCUAUCAGCAGGGAAGAAAAUGACGGUACCUGAUUAAGAAGCCCCGGCUAACUACGUGCCAGCAGCCGCGGUACUACGUAGGGGGCAAGCGUUAUCCGGAUUUACUGGGGGUAAAGGGAGCGUAGACGGCAGCACAAGUCUGGAGUGAAAUGCCGGGGCUUAACCCCGGAACUGCUUUGGAAACUGUGCAGCUAGAGUGCAGGAGAGGUAAGUGGAAUUCCUAGUGUAGCGGUGAAAUGCGUAGAUAUUAGGAGGAACACCAGUGGCGAAGGCGGCUUACUGGACUGUAACUGACGUUGAGGCUCGAAAGCGUGGGGAGCAAACAGGAUUAGAUACCCGAGUAGUC